CAAUAGCAUAUAUUAAAGUUGUUGCGGUUAAAAAGCUCGUAGUUGGAUCUCUGGUCUUGUCGGCCGGUCGCCCGCUGGGUUGUACUGGUCGGGCAGACCCGAAUUGCUAGUCGUGCUGUGCGUGCUCUUCAGUGGGUGCGUACAGUGGCUAGCGCGUUUACUUUGAAAAAAUUAGAGUGCUCAAAGCAGGCCCGCCGCCUGAAUAGUGGUGCAUGGAAUAAUGGAAUAGGACGUCAGUUCUAUUUGUUGGUUCGGAAUUUGACGUAAUGAUUAAGAGGGACAGACGGGGGCAUUCGUAUUGCUACGUUAGAGGUGAAAUUCUUGGAUCGUAGCACGACGAACAACUGCGAAANCANNNGCCAAGAAUGUUUUCAUNAA
rnacentral:rRNA from 1 species